rnacentral:rRNA from 1 species
UACGAAGGGUGCAAGCGUUACUCGGAAUUACUGGGCGUAAAGGGUGCGUAGGUGGUUUGUUAAGUCUGCUGUGAAAUCCCCGGGCUCAACCUGGGAAUGGCAGUGGAUACUGGCAAGCUAGAGUGCGGUAGAGGUAGGUAGAAUUCCCGGUGUAGUGGUGAAAUGCGUAGAGAUCGGGAGGAAUACCUGUGGCGAAGGCGGCCUACUGGGCCGGACCUGACGCUGAGACGCGAAGGCGUGGGGAGCGAACGGG